rnacentral:misc_RNA from 1 species
UUUUGAUUUUUUGGUUGGUUGUUAAUGAAUUUUAACAGAAUCUUCAUUUUUAUAUUCUAUUCUUAUUAGGGGUUGGUUAACUUUCUGGUAAAGGAAAAUGGAUUCAACAUUGAUAGAGUUACAAAGGCAAUAGAAAAGAUCAAGACAGCCAAGAACAAAUCUUCUCAGGGGCGGUUAGAAUCAUUCUUUAAACCAGUUAGCACGUCUGCUCCAGUUAAAAGAAAGGAAACAUCUCACACCACUGAGAAAGGAGCUGCUAACAAGAAAUCAAAGGCUGGUGGUAGUAAGAAGAAAAAGUAGUUAGCAUCAAGUUAAAGCUUGCAGUGAAGUGAUGGUUUCGUACCUUGGUCAGUCAGAGUGCCCAGUCACAUUGCUGCUUGUGGAGUCUUUGGUAGCUGGCGCCUCAAAUUUGUUUGGUCUUCUGGAAGAAAAUACACCGAUUAGUCAGGCUUUGUUUCAAGUGUCUCGUUUAUUUUCUUUUCUUCUGUAUCUCUCCACCCUGCCCUCUUUUUCAAUCAAUGAGUGUAUAAAUCUGGAUUAUCCUGGGUUCUCAUCCUAUGUGAAUUUGGCAUUUCUGUAGGUUACAUGUACACCAUUUAAUGCAUAAAACCG